UACAACUAUGUAUGAAUGGGUCAUAUAACUACAAAACGAUUAAAAUUCAAAAUUAAAUAUUUUUUGUUGUUGUUGUUUAUGUUCUAUAUAAUGUUUACUUAAAUGGUGUGUGACUGUGACGUGUUUUGAUGGACUGCGCUCUGAGUCUCAUCAUUCAAACGCUGCAGGGAGGGAGUUAACAUGGAAACGGGGCGGCAACUCUCCAACUGACAGCUGCAACACUGCCUCUCUCGCUGCUUUCACCGUUUUCAGGAGUAACACUUCUACAACAGAAGAGAAGCUCCAAGAUGUCUAAAUUUCUGAAGGAAGCUGCUGACAGAGAUGUGGGAAACAUAGGUAAGCUGCAUGAGAAAGCUCAUUAAAUCACUUCAUGUAUGCAAAUACGUAGUGACAAAAAUGCAUAAUCACCAUGCAUCUUUUACAAUUCUUUAUUAAAGUUAUUUUAAGAAGGUUUUGACAUUCAAACAUGAGUGAGUGAUGUUAAAAUGUAUUUUAUUUCUGUGAUCAAAGAUUAAUUUUCAGCAUCAUUACUCCAGUUUUACAUGAUGAUUAUUCAGAAAUCAUUCUAAUAUGCUGAUUUGCUGCUCAGGAAAUAUUCCCGAUUCAUAUUUUGUUUUGUGUUUUGUGUGUAUUAUUCAGGAUUCCUUAAUGAACAAAGUUUAAUAUGAACAGUGUUUAUUUGAAACAAAAAUAUUUACUCUCACUUCUCAUCAAUUUAAUGCAUUCUUGCUGAAUAAAAAUGAAUUUAUAAAAAAACCUCACUGACUGCAAACUUUUGAAAAGUAUUGUACAAUACCAUUUAAAGGUCUGGAGUCUAUUUAACAAUGAAUCUUGAAAAAAAAAAGAAAGAAGUUUACACUAAAAUGUUUUAUCAGCACAUCUUUUUUUUAAUAUUGUUAAUAAUCAGAAAUUUUUCUUGCGCAGCAAAUCUGAUUUAUUUUUGAAGGAUCAUGUGACACUGAAGACUGGAGUAAUGAUGUUAAAUUCAGCUUUGAUCACAGCGAUACAUUACAAUUUUAACAUAUUCAAAUAAUAAUUAAAAAAACAGUUCUCUUGAAUUGUAAUAUCAUUUCACAUUGUUAUUGUUUUAACUGUUUUUUGAGUUGUGAGUAUAAGAGACUUCUUUCAAAGAUGUAAAAAUCCUACUGACCCCAAACUUUUUAACAGUUGUGUAAAUUAGUUAUGAUGUUCCUCCCACUUCAAUAAUACUGCGUCAUAUGUACAUAAAAUCCAAUUAACAAAAUGCUGAAAGGGCAAAAAUAUUUGGUUACACUUUAUUUUGAUAGUCCACUUUAGACAUUCUACUAACUAUAAGUAACUUUGUAACUACGUGUCAACUAAUUCUCAUUAAUUUGCAACUACAUGUCUACUAACUCUCAGUAGGGUAGGUUUAGGGUUAGUAGAAUAAGUUGACAUAUAUUUGUAAAGUUUCUGAUAGUCAGUAUGUUGUAUGUUGUAGACCCAUCAAAAUAAAGUGUUAGAAGUUAUUAAGCAGAGAGUCUCCUAAUAACCUAAUGACUGCUAGUUGACAUGUAGUUGCAAAGUUUCUUACUGUUAGUAGAAUGUCUAAAGUGGACUAUCAAAAUAAAGUGUUUCCAAAUAUUUAAGUUGAACUCUUUUUAUUGCGUGUGCUUAGUUGAGAAGACAUAUUAAGUCUGCACAAGUAUAUUUUAAAAAUAUGAAAUGAAUGGUUAUUUUCAAAUCCAGUCAACAUUCAGAAUGCUAAAUGUUGACUAAACUAAUAAAAACAAAUCCAGCCAACACUGAGAUCAUUCCACACGUGCACGAGCCUGAGUGACUUCGCAGGAGAAACAGCGCCGCCAUCUUGUCAAGUUCAUGAGUCAGGGUGUGGCCAAAGGUUUCAUUGGUGCUUUGUCAUCACUGCAAGAUUUCAGAUGCAAACCAGUCAGUUCUUCCAAGGCACCAAACACCAGACCGCUCCACUGCAACUACAUACUGUGUACCUUCAAGACUAGGUAUGGCGUUAAAAGUGGGACAAAACUGCACAAGCGCAUGAACACAGCCCGCAAGCGAAUUACAGUACUGUGCGCACAAAAUAACAAAACCGCGAGCAGAAUCUGCACGCGCGUGCAGAUCUUAACCAAGCGGCAACCUCCCGCUCCCUCUAGUGAAACCAACACGGAAGUGACUAAAACUGCAAUUCAUCGAAAAAAAAACGUUUACAGCCUGGUACAAAAAAUUAUUUUGGUCUAUAUAGCUAAUUUUGCCCUUCGUGACAACUGUGAGGGGGGUGAAUUUUUUUAUAACUCAUCCGUUUAAAUUAUAUUAAGCCUUAAAGUUCUGCAUAAUUAAGGGCGUGGCCACUUGAGUGACAGGUGGACUGCUGCGAGCGCUGCUCCAGCGUGUGAAACUCUCUAGUGCGAAACUUAGAAAACUGGCUUUAAUGAUUUGUAUUUGUACAGAAAAAAAUAAUUAUAGGUAGGACACUGGGAAUCUGGCAAUUAGAUGUUUUUAAUCGUUAUUGCUUACAGUGCUUUGUUAUAUGGAGCAGUUUGUUAAAUCGCGAUCUCUCUCAUUUGUUUGUCUAAUGAAGUGCCAACAGAUAUAGAAGUACACAAUAAACGCGGUAGACUUUAAUGGACAUUAAAACAAAGGCAGAAUACCGUGUAACUCCAGGCUGGCACAGUAUUGACGAACGAAUGCAAACAUAUGCAGAGCACCGUAACUUAUCUGAGCUUUCCAAAACAAAGUCAAAGCGCGGUAACUGAUGUUAUACUGUGCUCUGCCUUGGUUUCUCCGGGGCUUUUCUCCAUGAUACUUAAACACAUGAUAAAGGAGGUCAUUAAUGUCCCAAAAUGAUCAAUAACUCAUUUUCGACCAAAAACGAAGUUAUGGUGUUCUGUCUUUGCACGGCAGCACCAGGGGCGUAAAUUUCAUUUGACAGUUGGGGGGGACAAUAAACGUAAAAUUUCUCAAGAGCAAUUUUUGAAGGGGACACAAAUAAUACAGCCAAAAUUGUACUUGUAAGGAUAGAUAUGUGUACACAGCAUGUGUACAUAGCAUGGAGACCGUGUUUAAAUAUGAGUUCAUGGUUCACCACGAGGUCAUAUUAUAAUUAUUAUUUUGCGUCAUCCAUAGUAUUUUAGGUUUUGUCUAGUCAAGUACAAUAUUAGCCUAAUAUCAGUUCACACACAGGCUUAUCGCUGUGUUAGUUGUAGUGGGUGACAAGCUAUGGUAUUAAGUUUGUUAACCUUAUAAUCGCUCAUAGAAAAUACAUCGGAUGUCAUAAUUUUUUUGUCAUGAUUAAUUUAUUAAUGAUCCAGCAUCAUCUGUAUUAAAGAGAAAGAAUAAUUUCACCCGAUGUUUAAAGAGAAUAAAAUAGCCUCGACAGCCUACUUGCACAUAACUAACUUGCUCUCUCUCACCGAACUCGUGUGUGUUUAUCAGUAAAGAAGGAAAGCACGCAGUGGACCAAACCACUGUGAGGAAAGGGAGGGGGGGAAUCAAAACAUUUCUGAACUUAAAACGUUUUUUUGCAUUUAUUUUGUUUUACUAAUCACACAAUUAUUUUAAGUAUAUGUCCGUUAUAUUAUUUUCAAUACACAGAGUCACUUGUAAUGAUAUUUUUAGGGGGGACAAGCCUCAGAUAGGGGGGGUCCUGUCCCCCAUCCCCCCCGGGAUUUAUGCCUAUGGGCAGCACUGCUGUCACUAUAGAGGGGCGUGGUUUCAGCUCAGCUUCACCCACGUCCCGCCUUUUUGCCCAUUUUCGAUUAUCCGGGAGUGACGCGCGGUGAUGCGCUUCCAAGAUGGCGGCGGUCGGCUCCGCCCACUUUAGGCUUCAAAAACGCUUUACAGAAACCUACGGGUGACGUCACGGACACUACGUCCAUUUUUUUUUACAGUCUAUGAUCUUAACACACGCACGAGUAAUUUCUACACGUGCGCGCAGAUCUUAACACACGUGCGAGCAGAAUCUGCACACGCGCGCACAUCUAAAUACGGUCAAGCUGAACCCUUCGGCCAGGAAGUUUUGACAGUCAGGGGGUGGGGCCUAAACGUAUGCUUGUUGUGUUGACAAAUGCUAUUGGCUGCUAGCCAAAUCCUGUAUUGAUUGGCUGCUCGUCGUCUGCCUGGCUGUUGAUUGGCUUUCUCCUGACGAGACAGAAAGCCAGGAGAAUUGAAUUGGACGAUGGCAGAGAGUAAAGAGGUAAGUUUUCUUUCUAAUUUCAUACUUAAAUCUUAAGUAUAUGUAAGGGUUUUAUAAUAAGUUAUAUAGGGUGUAACGGUGCACGUAAUCGUACCAAAAAUCUUAAUUUUAAUGAAUCGAUAUCGAUUCUUUUGUUUAAUAAAGCUUGCAAAUGGAUCUGCACGUCUCAAGUCUCA